rfam:Citrus clementina cultivar Clemenules unplaced genomic scaffold scaffold_4, whole genome shotgun sequence.
AGGGAUGUAGCACAGCUUGGUAGUGCAUUUUAUUUGGUUACAAAACUUUACUGGUUCAAAUCCUACCAUCGCUA